GCUCAGUGUAGUGGCUCAGACCUGUAAUCCCAGAUACCAGGGAGGUUGAGCCUAGUGGGUCUUGAGCUCAGGAGUUCUGAGCUACAGUGGGAUAAGCAGAUAGAGUGUCCACACUAAAUCCAGCACCAGUAAAUUGAGUCCCCAGGAAUAGGGAUCACCAGGUUGACUAAGGAGGUACAAACUAAACUGGGUGAGAAAUGAAGCAUGUCAAAGUUCCUGGGCCAAUCAGUAGUAAGGUUGAAUCCAUGAGUGGCCCCUGAACUUCCAGCCUGGGUGAGAUAGGGAAAGCCAGUCUUUU
rnacentral:SRP_RNA from 1 species